UACGAAGGGGCUAGCGUUGUUCGGAAUUACUGGGCGUAAAGGGCGCGUAGGCGGUGUGUCAAGUCAGGCGUGAAAGCCCCGGGCUCAACCUGGGAACAGCGCUUGAGACUGGCACGCUCGAGUUCGGGAGAGGAUGGUGGAAUUCCCAGUGUAGAGGUGAAAUUCGUAGAUAUUGGGAAGAACACCGGUGGCGAAGGCGGCGACCUGGUCCGAUACUGACGCUGAGGCGCGAAAGCGUGGGGAGCAAACAGG
rnacentral:rRNA from 1 species